rnacentral:lncRNA from 1 species
GGCCAAUUUGCGUAGGCGUCCCGUGCUAGUUGUUUCCAUUUCUGACGAAUUCGUUCUGCGAGCACGAGAAUGAGAACUUGAAGUAAUUUCACGGUGUGCGCC